GUCUGUGUGCGUGUGGGGUUUGCUUUGUCAUUCGUACCCCCGGUGCGCGCUGACGCGGCCGGCCUGGCCGAGCUCUCCAGCAUCCGCAGACGGGUCCCCGGCGCUGUUCCUGGGAUGCUCCCUUACAUAAUGACGCGACUGGCUGAAGCGCACGUCAGCGCAGACACCGCACAUGCCGCAAACCCGGGCCUUCCGAUUUCAUGCAUUGCUAGACGAGAGCCUACAAUACCAUGCCGUACGGCGGAGGAGGCUCUGAGCCCCCCCUCCCCGUGCUACCCCCUCCCCCCGGGUGCUGGCUCCAUGUCUGUGUGACCGGCCUCAGGGGUAGAGUCCAGGCCCGACGCGGGGCGGGCCAGCGGCGGCGGCAGCUGAGGUGAGAGACGGCGGCGGCGGCGCGGGCACCCGGCCCCCCAGCGGGAGGAUGAAGCGGCGGAACGCCGACUGCAGUAAGCUCCGCCGCCCCCUAAAGCGGAACCGGAUCACCGAGGGCAUUUACGGCAGUACAUUUUUAUACCUGAAAUUCCUGGUGGUGUGGGCACUUGUCCUCCUAGCAGAUUUUGUCCUGGAGUUCAGAUUUGAAUACCUGUGGCCAUUCUGGCUUUUCAUCAGAAGCGUCUAUGAUUCCUUCAGAUACCAGGGACUGGCCUUCUCAGUAUUUUUUGUUUGUGUAGCAUUCACGUCAAAUAUAAUAUGCCUGCUGUUCAUCCCCAUACAGUGGCUUUUUUUUGCUGCUAGCACAUAUGUAUGGGUUCAGUACGUAUGGCACACAGAAAGGGGAGUGUGUUUGCCUACAGUGUCUCUCUGGAUCCUCUUUGUUUAUAUUGAAGCAGCCAUUAGAUUUAAAGAUCUCAAAAACUUUCAUGUAGACCUUUGUCGUCCAUUUGCUGCUCACUGUAUUGGGUACCCUGUGGUAACUUUGGGCUUUGGCUUCAAAAGUUACGUAAGCUACAAAAUGCGGUUAAGGAAGCAAAAAGAAGUACAAAAAGAGAACGAGUUUUACAUGCAACUUCUUCAACAAGCUCUCCCUCCAGAGCAACAGAUGCUACAGAAGCAAGAAAAAGAGGCCGAGGAAGCAGCCAAAGGAUUACCUGAUAUGGAUUCUUCGAUCCUUAUACACCACAAUGGAGGUAUCCCAGCCAACAAAAAACUCUCCACAACUUUGCCAGAGAUAGAAUACCGAGAAAAAGGGAAAGAAAAGGACAAGGAUGCCAAAAAACACAACCUUGGAAUAAAUAACAACAAUAUUCUACAACCUGUAGACUCUAAAAUACAAGAGAUUGAGUAUAUGGAAAACCAUAUCAAUAGUAAAAGAUUAAAUAAUGAUCUUGUGGGAAGUACAGAAAAUCUCUUGAAAGAGGACUCAUGCACUGCUUCCUCAAAAAAUUACAAAAAUGCCAGUGGAGUUGUGAACUCUUCACCUCGAAGUCAUAGCGCCACAAAUGGGAGCAUUCCUUCCUCAUCUAGUAAAAAUGAGAAGAAGCAGAAAUGCACUAGCAAGAGCCCAAGUACACACAAGGACUUAAUGGAAAACUGUAUUCCUAAUAACCAGCUAAGCAAACCAGACGCACUGGUCAGGCUGGAACAAGACAUUAAAAAGUUAAAGGCUGACCUGCAAGCCAGCAGACAAGUGGAACAAGAGCUCCGCAGUCAGAUCAGCUCCCUUUCGAGCACCGAGCGAGGGAUCCGCUCAGAAAUGGGCCAGCUUCGGCAGGAGAACGAGCUGCUACAGAACAAGUUACAUAAUGCUGUGCAAAUGAAGCAAAAAGACAAGCAGAAUAUCAGCCAGUUGGAGAAAAAGCUAAAAGCUGAGCAGGAAGCCCGAAGUUUUGUAGAGAAACAGUUAAUGGAAGAGAAAAAGAGGAAGAAGUUAGAAGAAGCCACUGCUGCCCGUGCUGUUGCGUUUGCUGCUGCAUCUAGGGGAGAAUGCACCGAAACCUUACGGAAUCGGAUCAGAGAACUAGAAGCAGAGGGCAAGAAGCUCACGAUGGACAUGAAGGUGAAAGAAGACCAAAUCAGAGAACUAGAACUAAAAGUCCAGGCUAAUUUAUAGACAUCGAUGCCAAAACUACCUUGUAGCAUUGCUGUUUUGAUGAUAUUGAUAGGAGCUUCGGAAAUAUAAGGAAAAUGAGAAGGACACUGAGGUGUUAAUGUCAGCCCUCUCAGCCAUGCAAGACAAAACACAGCACCUGGAGAACAGCUUAAGCGCAGAGACGAGAAUUAAGCUGGACCUGUUCUCCGCACUGGGCGAUGCAAAGCGGCAGCUCGAGAUUGCCCAAGGACAAAUCCUUCAGAAAGAUCAGGAAAUCAAGGACCUAAAACAGAAGAUAGCCGAAGUCAUGGCCGUCAUGCCCAGCAUAACAUACAGUGCCGCCACCAGCCCCCUGAGCCCUGUUUCCCCCCACUACUCUUCCAAAUUUGUGGAGACCAGCCCCUCUGGACUUGACCCCAAUGCCUCUGUUUACCAGCCCCUGAAGAAAUGAAGGCCAGCUGUGUGUUGUGCCCAAAAAUUUGGUUACCGGAAGGCAUUGCAAAGGAGCGUCUCUGGCAGUCAAGAUAAAAAAACAGUUUCUAUUGUAUUUUGUGGCACUGUAUCUGUUGUCAUUUUUAAAAAGGGGGGAAAAGAUAACAUCCAAGUCUGAUUAGAACUGCCCAUCAGUUUUUCUUGUAAAUUUUUAGAAGACCUCACAGAACUUUACAGUUUAUUUUUCUCGGCCAACACAUUAAAACCAUUCUUGGAUUUCAAGUA